AGUUUGAUCAUGGCUCAGGAUGAACGCUAGCGGGAGGCUUAAUACAUGCAAGUCGAACGGCAACAUGAUGAUAGCAAUAUUAUUGAUGGCGAGUGGCGCACGGGUGAGUAACACGUACAUAACCUGCCCUUUACUGAGGGAUAGCCUUGGGAAACUAGGAGUAACCCCUCAUGGUGUGCAUUAGACGCAUGUCUGAUGCAAUAAAUCUUUCGAGAGGUAAAGGAUGGGUGUGCGGCUGAUUAGUUAGUUGGAGAGGUAACGGCUCACCAAGACAAUGAUCAGUAGGGGGUGUGAGAGCAUGAUCCCCCACACGGGUACUGAGACACGGACCCGACUCCUACGGGAGGCAGCAGUAAGGAAUAUUGGACAAUGGCGGAGACGCUGAUCCAGCUAUCCCGCGUGCAGGAUGAAGGGCCUAUGGCUUGUAAACUGCUUUAGACUGAGACGAAAAAAUGAGAUUUUUCUCAUAUUGACGGUAUCAGUAAAAUAAGCACCGGCUAACUCCGUGCCAGCAGCCGCGGUAAGACGGAGGGUGCAAGCGUUAUCCGGAAUCACUGGGUAUAAAGGGUGCGUAGGCGGCUUGUUAAGUCAGGAGUGAAAGGCCAUAGCUUAACUAUGGGAUUGCUUUUGAUACUGGCGAGCUUGGAUUAGGACGAGGUUGGCGGAAUGUGACAAGUAGCGGUGAAAUGCAUAGAUAUGUCAUAGAAUACCGAUUGCGAAGGCAGCUGACUAGAC
rnacentral:rRNA from 1 species